rnacentral:rRNA from 1 species
AACGAACGCUGGCGGCAGGCCUAACACAUGCAAGUCGAGCGAAGCCUUCGGGCUUAGCGGCGGACGGGUGAGUAACGCGUGGGAACGUGCCCUUUGGUACGGAAUAGCCCCGGGAAACUGGGAGUAAUACCGUAUGUGGUCGAGAGACGAAAGAUUUAUCGCCAAAGGAUCGGCCCGCGUUGGAUUAGGGAGUUGGUGGGGUAAUGGCCUGCCAAGCCGACGAUCCAUAGCUGGUUUGAGAGGAUGAUCAGCCACACUGGGACUGAGACACGGCCCAGACUCCUACGGGAGGCAGCAGUGGGGAAUCUUAGACAAUGGGGGAAACCCUGAUCCAGCCAUGCCGCGUGAUCGAUGAAGGCCUUAGGGUUGUAAAGAUCUUUCAGUGGGGAAGAUAAUGACUGUACCCACAGAAGAAGCCCCGGCUAACUCCGUGCCAGCCGCCGCCGUAA